rnacentral:rRNA from 1 species
AUUGAACGCUGGCGGCAUGCCUUACACAUGCAAGUCGAACGGCAGCACGGGUGCUUGCACCUGGUGGCGAGUGGCGAACGGGUGAGUAAUACAUCGGAACGUACCUUAUCGUGGGGGAUAACGCAGCGAAAGCUGUGCUAAUACCGCAUACGCCCUGAGGGGGAAAGCGGGGGAUCGCAAGACCUCGCGCGAUUAGAGCGGCCGAUGCCUGAUUAGCUUGUUGGUGGGGUAAAAGCCCACCAAGGCGACGAUCAGUAGCUGGUCUGAGAGGACGAUCAGCCACACUGGGACUGAGACACGGCCCAGACUCCUACGGGAGGCAGCAGUGGGGAAUUUUGGACAAUGGGGGCAACCCUGAUCCAGCAAUGCCGCGUGAGUGAAGAAGGCCUUCGGGUUGUAAAGCUCUUUUGUCAGGGAAGAAACACCGGCUCUAACACAGUCUGGGAAUGACGGUACCUGAAGAAUAAGCAUCGGCUAACUGCGUGCCAGCAGCCGCCGUAA